rnacentral:rRNA from 1 species
UACGUAGGGUGCGAGCGUUGUCCGGAAUUAUUGGGCGUAAAGAGCUCGUAGGCGGUUUGUUGCGUCGGCUGUGAAAUCCCGAGGCUCAACCUCGGGUCUGCAGUCGAUACGAGCAAACUAGAGUGUUGCAGGGGAGACUGGAAUUCCAGGUGUAGCGGUGAAAUGCGUAGAUAUCUGGAGGAACACCGGUGGCGAAGGCGGCAUCCUGGACCAACACUGACGCUGAGGAGCGAAAGCCAGGGGAGCAAACGGG